ensembl:lncRNA
CCCCCAGCAGAGACCAGUCCACCGCCCACUAACUGAACCAAUGGAACGUAUGCACAUGACUCCACACUAACUGCGGCCCCCCUGCGCCCCCCCAGGACGUGCUGGGUGCACCAGGUGACGGGUGUGUGGGUCUACCCGGUGCUGGAGCGCUUCACCCCGCUGGCUCGAGGCGUCUUCUUCAGCGCCAUGAUGGCGGUGAUCUGUGUGUUCUACACCUUGGGAGACGUCCUCAACAGCUACAUCUGGGACCAGCCACACACAGCAAAGGUCAAAGGUGAGUGACCCUGGCCUGACUGUGCGGGUGUGGGAGUCGUCGUCGUGCCCCGCCCACCCAGGACAGCCCAGUAACGCAAAACAAGCGACCCUCUCUGGAAGUGAAAGAAUAACAGUUAACCUUUGAACUAUACAACAACAACAACAACAUAUUGAAAAAACUAAAUGAGCAGUAAAAUGUAAGUAUAGAAGGAAAGGUGACCAAUUGUUUGGUUUUGUAACGGUCUUUGUUAUGUGGAGGACAGUGGACAAAACACACAAACACACAUCUACAUCACACUAAAAACUACACACACGUCAUCAAUAUUUGUAAUCUGCUUUUCUGGUAUGAACUACUUCUCAAAGUGAAUCAUCUGCUUCUGUGAAACGUCUGGAGAUCCAUAACGUGUUGAAGACCAUCAUUGUUCAUCUCAUGUAUGAGGAAACAAAUCAAUAAAGCUGGAGUGGAAAAGUCCUGUUUGGAUCCAGUGAGUUUUUAUAACGAGAUUUAAUUAACUUCUGAGUAUUGAGGAGAACGUCAUCAGACCCAAAAGGAUCGUUCUCUAAAGUCCCAGAAAUCAAUGUGAGUCCGUGUGACCAGCGAACAUCUGGGGAAUCGAUUCACCGGCCCAGAGGAAUGUCUUCAGUUUAGCCAAAUGCUUUCCCAGCUCUCCUGUCACCAUGGAAACCCAAACUCCAAACACAGGGUAAACUGCCCCCCCUCCAGUCAGCAGAAAUGAAUAAGCUGGAGAGUUCAGGUUCGAACUGAUGGAGGAAUAAAAAAGACAACAAAUAAAUAAAUUAAACCUGUUGACUUCUUCAGGUGGAGAGGACGUCGCAAUAAACGCAAGACUGUCACAAUAAAAGCAAUAGUGUCAAAGUAAAAGUUAUACUAAAGAGAAUAAAAAACAAAACAAAGUGAGCGCUCCAUUCCGACGAAGCUGCGCGACACACACACACACACACACACACACACACACACAGCUCACUAUGCAUGCGUGCGUGUGUGUGUUUCUCUGCAUUAACACGUCAACUCCUCCACUCCUGAGGUGACACAUUCAAACGAAGACUAUUCUGAUGUGCAUGAUCUAGCAUAUAUUUACAUGCUAAUGAGCAGAGAGGAAGCUGGACUCCGUCGUUAUAUAUAUAUAUAUAUAUAUAUAUAUAUAUAUAUAUAUUAUAUAUAUAUAAAGAUAGACUCCUGAUAUUUGCUUUACACUGAAGAGGAAGUACAAGUCUCUGGAGGAGACUGAGACGUUGGAGGGAGGGAGGGAAGGAAGG